UACGUAGGCAGCGAGCGUUGUUCGGAGUUAUUGGGCGUAAAGGGUGCGUAGGCGGUUUUGUAAGUCUUGUGUGAAAUCUUCAGGCUCAACUUGAAGACUGCACGAGAAACUGCAGGGCUUGAGUGUGGGAGAGGUGAGUGGAAUUCCUGGUGUAGCGGUGAAAUGCGUAGAUAUCAGGAGGAACACCUGUGGCGAAAGCGGCUCACUGGACCACAACUGACGCUGAUGCACGAAAGCUAGGGGAGCAAACAGG
rnacentral:rRNA from 1 species